GCAUCUGGGGAACGUUGGCCUCGUGGACGUGUCAAACGUGGCCUUCUUCUUUGGUGUCC
rnacentral:pre_miRNA from 1 species